rnacentral:rRNA from 1 species
UACGUAGGGUGCAAGCGUUGUUCGGAAUCAUUGGGCGUAAAGCGCGUGUAGGCGGUUAGUUAAGUCAAGUGUGAAAUCCCUGGGCUCAACCCAGGAAGUGCACUCGAAACUAACUAGCUAGAAGAUGGUAGAGGAAGGUGGAAUUCCAAGUGUAGAGGUGAAAAUUCGUAGAUAUUUGGAGGAAUACCGGUGGCGAAGGCGGCCUUCUGGGCCAUUCUUGACGCUGAGACGCGAAAGCGUGGGUAGCAAACAGG